rnacentral:rRNA from 1 species
AUUGAACGCUGGCGGCAGGCCUAACACAUGCAAGUCGAGCGGAGCGGCAGACGGGUGAGUAAGACCUAGGAAUCUGCAUGGUAGUGGGGGAUAACGUCCGGAAACGGGAGCUAAUACCGCAUACUAGCAGAUGAGCCUAGGUCGGAUGUGCGAGUUGGUGGGGUAAAGUCCUACAAAGGCGCCGAUCCCUAACUGGUCUGAGAGGGUGAUCAGUCACACUGGCACUGAGACACGGUCCAGACUCUUACGGGAGGCAGCAGUGGGGAAUAGUGGACAAUGGGCGAAAGCCUGAUCCAGCCAUGCCGCGUGUGUGAAGAAGGUCUUAGGAUUGUAAAGCACUUUAAGUUGGGAGGCGUUACCAACAGAAUAAGCACCGGCUAACUUCGUGCCAGCAGCCGCGGUAAUUC